rnacentral:rRNA from 1 species
UACCUGCAGCUCAAGUGGUGACCACUAUUAUUGGGCCUAAAACGUCCGUAGCCGGUUUAGUAAAUGCCUGGGUAAAUCGAGCCGCUUAACGGUUCGAAUUCCGGGUAGACUGCUAAACUUGAGACCGGGAGAGGCUAGAGGUACUCCUGGGGUAGAGGUGAAAUUCUGUAAUCCUGGGGGGACCACCAGUGGCGAAGGCGUCUAGCUAGAACGGGUCUGACGGUGAGGGACGAAGCCCUGGGGCGCAAACCGGAUUAGAUACCCCCGUA